rnacentral:rRNA from 1 species
GACGAACGCUGGCGGCGUGCUUAACACAUGCAAGUCGAACGGAAAGGCCCUGCUUUUGUGGGGUGCUCGAGUGGCGAACGGUGAGUAACACGUGAGUAACCUGCCCUUGACUUUGGGAUAACUUCAGGAGACUGGGGCUAAUACCGGAUAGGAGCUCCUGCUGCAUGGUGGGGGUUGGAAAAGUUUCGGCGGUUGGGGAUGGACUCGCGGCUUAUCAGCUUGUGGUGGGGUAUGGCUUUACCAAGGGCUUUGACGGGUAGCCGGCCUGAGAGGGUGACCGGCCACAUUGGGACUGAGAUACGGCCCAGACUCCUACGGGAGGCAGCAGUGGGGAAUAUUGCACAAUGGGCGGAAGCCUGAUGCAGCAACGCCGCGUGCGGGAUGACGGCCUGGUGUAACG